GCCCCCUGCGUCAGCCUCCUAUUGGUUGGUCGGAGUUCCCGCCGAGGUGAUUGGACUAACGCGCUCCCCCGCCAGGCCUCGGUUGGUCCUGGGCGAGCUGGGCAAAGGUCGCUCUUCCGCUUUAAAUCGCGAGUGGUUGCUAGGGGCGCUCGGAGCUGAAGGCAGGUGCCGAGAGUUCGCUUUUUCGAGAAUGUGUGACCACGUCCCAAGGUUGGCAACUGGGAGAACUUGUACAGAAAGUUGAGCUGACUGAACCCUUGGCUGGAUAGACUCCUCGCCGACUCCCGCAAUCCCCGCCAGAGCACAUGGGUCCCAGUCUCUCUUCGCCCUCCACCCUCCCGGCGUUUCGCAAGAUCCCUGGCUCGUCCCGCUCCGGCGGGGAUUUCCUCCAGGGCUCGACGUGAGAGGUGAUAGAGUGCGCUACGGUGCAUUCGGGCUCGUUUGUUGAGAAAAGUUAGUGAGGUUUAGUCAGUAGGAAAGCCUUCAAGCUUACGCACCGCACCAUCAAGGUGUUCCUCUGAACAAAAAAAAAAUAAUAAAGGAGCCAUCGAAGACAGAAAGAAAAGAAAUAUGGUAAAUCAUAAGAGAAGGAGCUAGACUCAGAAACUGAGAAAAGUAUGUAAGCUUCUUGGAGAGCGAGGCACAUAUGUCCUGGAGCAAAAUAAAGUGUGGCAGAAUAGUCAUGGUGGACUGGAGAUGCUACCCAAAUAAACCAGGAACAACUGAUCCCCGAACUGAAUUCUUUAUGUACCUGGAAUUGUCUGACUUAUAAAUGACUGCACAUGGCUAGUAUGCUUCGUUGCUAUAAUGUUUGGGACUCCUCUGAUGGGCAGCUUUGGCUGGAGGACUACUCAACACCCUAGCUUGGACUUGCUUCAAACUGCUGCAGUCGGAGACACCACCUACUCAGUCUUUUCUUAUCCCUCUCCUUUGUAGGUGUCACAGUUUGCAGACUCUCCCACCUUCCCUUGCUCCCUUCCCUUUUAUCUUUCACAGAUAGUUCCCCUAAGAAAUAUCUUGCAUGUUGUUAUGGGAUGAAUUGUGUCCUCCCGAAAAUUCACAUGUUGAAGCCUUAAGUCCAGAAUACCUCAGGAUGUGACUGUAUGUGGAGAUGAGUCCUUUAAGGAUGCAGUAAAGUUACAGUGAAGCUGUUAGAGUGAACACUAAUCCAACUUGACUGAUGUGCUUAGAAGAAGAAGAAAUUUGGACACACAAGGAGACACCAGGAACAUGUGCACAAAGAAAGGGCCACACGAGGACACUGCGAGAAGGUGGCCACCUGCAAGCCAAGAACAGAGGCCCCAGAAGAAACCAAACCUCUUGACACCUAGGAUCUCCAGAGCUCCCUAACUCCAAAGUGAUGAUGAAGAAGAGACACCAGAGAGUGCUCUCCCCUACCUGCCCCCUACCCGACAAGGACAGGGUGAGAACGAGAAGGUGGCUAUCUGCAAAUCAGGAAAAGGGAUCUCACCAGAACCUGAAUGUGCGGGUACUCUGAUCUCAGACUUCUAGCCCCUAGAACUGUGAAGUAAGUGUCUGUGGUUUAAGCCACCCAGUCUAUGGCAUUUAGUUAUAGUGGCCCAAGCUAGGACAGACCUUAUGGUAAGCCCCAGAGGAAAAAUCACAGUGAGGUCCCUGGGACUGGAGCAAAGCCAUGCCACCUGCAGCAGAGAAGUAUAUACAGUUGAAGAACCAGCUAUUGGUUGAAAAAAAAAAAAAAAAAAAAAAAAAGAACCGGCUACUGGUGUGAUACUGGGCCUUGGUAGAGAAUAAACGCUUAACCAUGGGACGCCAAGUAAGCAUGUGUUCAGAACUGCCUCUUAUGGCCUGGAUUCUUUUGGUUCCAAGGACCCAGCAGCAUCUAUUGUAAGAUGGAAAUGGUACAUCUGAGAUGGAGCUCAGGCACAGUUGAGGUACUUGUAGGUUUAUGACCAGGUAGUCCAGACCCCCGUGUCACCCCCCGCCGCUGCACCAAUACCAUGACCAGCUGAAGAAAUAAGGGUAAAUCCUGAGUUUGGUUUGUGGAUGAGUCAGCUUAGUAUGUGGGUGUAAGCCAAAAUUAGACAGUGACGGCCUUAUAGCCACAUUCUUGAGAGGCUUUGAAAAACAGCGGAAAGGAAAAAAUCUUCUUAAUGAGUAGAGUUACAAGCAUUGUCCCUGGUCAUCUACUUUGUGUAUAAGGAGAAGCAGACUGAACUAAGAAUAUGUAUAAAUAUAGAUUCUUGGGCAGGGGUCAAUGGCCUGGCCCCCUGGUAGGACACCUGGAAGGAAAAGGACUGGAAGAUCAAAGACAGGAAACUCUGGGGUAGAGUCUUAAGGGUGAAUAUACAGGAGUGGGCAUGAAAUGUGAAGAUUUUUGUAUCAUGUUUUUGUACCCACCAGGGAGGAAGUACUAAACAAUGAAGUAGUCAGAAUGACUCGUCUAAUUGUGUCAACAGGCUCAAGCACUGGCUACUUGGAACCAGCCUAAUGGGCACUGUAGAGGGUUAUAUUGUAUCCCCCCCAAAGUUUAUAUGUUCAAUUUCCAAUCUCCAGUACCGCAAAAUGUGCCCUUAUUUGUAAAUAGGGUUGUUGCAGAUGUAAUUAGUUAUGGUGACAUCAUACCAGAGUAGGCGGACCCCUAAUCCAGUGUAACUAGUCUCCUAAUAAGCAGAAGGCCAUGUGAAGACAGAGAUACAUGGAGGGAAGGCCAUGCGAAGAUAAGAACAGAGACUAGGCCCAUGUAGGAGAAGCCAAGGAAUGCAAAGAUUGCCAGCAAACCACCAAAAGCUGGGAGAGAGGCAUAGAACAAGUUUUCCCUCACAGGCCUGAGAAGGAACUAAGCCUGCUAACACCUUGAUCUCAGACUUCUAGCCUCUAGAACUGUGAGACAAUAAGUUUCUGUUCUUUAAAUCACCAAAUUUAUGGUACCUUGUGAAGGCAAUUCUAAGAAUCUAAUGCAGGCACUAUAAAUGGAGCGGCCACAGUGGCAGAGAUAGAGGCUAUGGAUAGACCACAAAAGCAUGGACUCCAGCUUUUUAAGGCUGAUCUAGCUACUGAUGCCUAAAUGUCCAGCAUGUCAGCAAUAGAGACUGCGGCUGAGUCCCAUUAUGGAACUAUUACUCAAGGAGACAAAUGGCUACUUGGUGACAAGUUGACGACAUUGGGUCUCUUCCAUGCCGGAGGGGCCCCUGUUGCAUUCUCGCAGUAAUAGAUAACUAAUUCUGGGUAUGGGUUUUCCUUUCUACCAACAGAUCCCCAGCUCACAGUACAGUACUGGGGCGUGUGGAAUGUCUGAUCCGCAGGUGUAGAACCCUGCAUAACAAAGAAUUCAACUCGGACAACAGCUUUAGAGUAAAAGAGGGAGAGAGUGGACCUGUGACCUCAUACCACACCAACCAGAAAAGACUGACCUCAAAAAGAGCUAGAAUAGUUUUCUAAAGGUUCAAGUGAAAUACCAUUCAGAGAGAACUCUGAAAAAACUGGGUACUAUCAUUCAGGAUAUGUUAUACAAAUUAAAUCAGAGGACAUUUGGAAGCCAAUAGGAAAAAUAAAUGAGUCCACUAACAAAGGAGUGAAUGCAGGAAUAGCUCCAUUUACCUUCACUACCAAUGACCCACCAGAGGAUCUUGUGCUCCUUAGACCCACAAAGCUGUGAUCUGUGCCAGAUACUGCUCCCCAGAGGGAUUGCACUCCCUGUGUUAAGGGACACAGCAAAGAUCCCAGCAGCUAUGACUGUUGCUGAGGCACUUUAGACUCAUUCAUUAUUCUGGGGGCCAGUAGGUGAAAACUCACCAUCAUGACAAGGAUAACUGAGCCUAAUGGGUAGGAGAAGGUAGCACUGCCUUUUACAGAAUCCAUGUGACCCACUUGGGUGUCUCCUAAUACUCCCCUGCCCCAUUGCAACUAUGAACAUAUGCAGUGACUCUGACCUGAGAAGUGUUUGGUUACCAGCAGCUCAGUUCCCGCAGGAAUAAAGGUCUGGCUAAUACUAUCACAUAAGACCCCAAGACCUGCUAAGAUGAUAAGUGAGGGUGUGGGGAAUAUAGACGGAAUGGUAGAAAAGGGAGAAAAUGAAUAUCAUUUGUGGCCUCCAGACCAGGUGCUGUAGUUCAUUCUACUUAUCUUUCUCUCUCUCUUUUUUUUUUUUUUUGUGUGUGUGUGUGU